UGCGUAGGUGGUUUCUUAAGUCAGAGGUGAAAGGCUACGGCUCAACCGUAGUAAGCCUUUGAAACUGGGAAACUUGAGUGCAGGAGAGGAGAGUGGAAUUCCUAGUGUAGCGGUGAAAUGCGUAGAUAUUAGGAGGAACACCAGUUGCGAAGGCGGCUCUCUGGACUGUAACUGACACUGAGGCACGAAAGCGUGGGGAAGCAAACAG
rnacentral:rRNA from 1 species